CUUUGGAGAUCCUCAUUCCCAAAUGAAAACGGUUGGAGGAAACUUAUGCCACUGACUCUUAACAUUCAUGUGUGAAAGCAGAAGGACCCUAAAGUGAGGUAUUUCUGAGGAAACAAACCACCAAGUCUAAUAUGGCCCAAGCAGUGGUCACACAUGACCUGAGACUGGAAGCAUUUGAAGGUUGACAUCUUUACUUAGGGUAAAAGUGCAUAUGAUAAUGGGGCCUCAUCCAAAGCAGACCAACUGACCUCCACAUGAAGUGCAGUAUGCCUUAACUCAGCAAAUGACAAGCGCCAGGUGAGGCCACAUUGUAUCCGUUGUUAAUUGCUUUAUGAUUGUGCUCACCAUGAAACGUGUGCUGUAAAAAUAAUUCUGAUUGAUUGAGAAACUGAAUACAAACAUUAGGUGGAAAGAAAAAACCAAGCAAAUCCAGCUCUGAGAUUAAAAAAAAACCUUCUGCAAAUGGCACUCUCGCCAUCGUGGGUCAAAAUCAAUACAUUGUGACA